GUGAAUCAUCGAAUUUUUGAACGCAAAUUGCACUCUCUUCGGAGAGUAUGCCUGUUUGAGGGUCAGCCUAAAAAAAAUCGACAUCGUUGCUGUUUCGCGGUGGCGUUCGUCGGAAAUUGGGUUAUCUUAAAUCUUUGUUUUAUGCGAGUUAUAAUAUUCCUUUUUAUUCCAUGAACGUUUCCUAG
rnacentral:misc_RNA from 1 species